rnacentral:rRNA from 1 species
AUGCUAAUGAUCUGGUACGUAGUACUACUAUUACCCCUGAUUCCUGCUUUGGCAAGAUGUAAGCACCGUUGGCAAAAGAACAUCGGAAGGGCUAGGGCGAAAAACGCAGGCACCAAUGGAGAGGCUUUUGCAGAGGAGCUUCACUGGCAGGACUCCAAGAGAAGUUCAUGUGUGAAAUACUACAGAAAUAUCAGUAAGUUCCUUCCUUGGAUAUGCAGCAAACAAACAUUUCAGGCAAGCUGGGUACUAAUUGCUGUAGAGCAACAUCAAAGUAUAGAGGACCAAAUUGAGACUCAAGAGUUGAACUCCAGUACAUAG